CAUCCUCUACGUAAGCUAUAACCAUUGCAGCCAUUGAUCACAAAUCAUCCAUGCUGGCAAUCCAUCCAUCCAUUAACAACAAUAAAACUGGUGUUUGUAAUUGUAAAGUAAAGGACUAACAAGAUGCACGUAAGAAAAGAUCCAAUAUCAAGUUAAUUGAAAAAAAAAUAGGACCAACUUGAUUCGAAGGUUAAAAUUUUGGACUAACUUGAGCAUUCAAUCUAUCACCGUCCUGGCGUACUCGAAGCUAUAGUCAGAGUCACAGUCACGACUCACGACUCACGACUCACGAUUAGGUUAUGUGACGGGUAAGCUGUUAGUUCUGGUGCCAACCACCGUGGAUCAACGAUGCCGAGCCACCACCAACUCCACGUUCCUCUCCGCAGUAACCCUUCCUCCUCCUCCUCCUUCGCCUCACUAUCUUCCAACUCUUUCGUCUCGAAGAUUCUUCUCCUCCUCACCCUCCUCCCAGUUUCCUUGGCAGCCAUAGCAUUCGUCCUCCAAUGGCGAGGUGGCAUCACAGAUCCAGCUUCCCUUUUGUCCCCUCCUGGUUCUCACCACUUCCCUGGUAUGGCAGACCCUUCUCCUCUCUCCCCCCUCUCACACUCCUCCUCCGCCUCCGACUGUCUUAAUCUUGGCCGCACCUCUUCCCCCUCCUUCCCUUACUACCACAACUGGAAACUUGACUAUGCCGCUAAUAUCAAACCUAAGAUCUGUAUUACGACUAGUACAUCGGCAGGGCUAGAACAGAUUCUACCUUGGAUGUUUUAUCAUAAAGUCAUUGGAGUGACGAACUUCUUUCUCUUUGUGGAGGGUAAGGCUGCUUCUCCUGAAGUAUCAAAGGUCUUGAAAUCAAUUCCGGGUGUCAAGGUUGUAUAUAGAACAAAGGAGCUGGAAGAGCAACAAGCAAAGAGCCGAAUUUGGAAUGAGACAUGGCUAGCAGGUUUCUUUUAUAAACCAUGCAAUUACGAACUUUUUGUGAAGCAAUCCCUCAAUAUGGAGAUGGCUAUUGUCAUGGCAAGGGAUGCUGGUAUGGAGUGGAUUCUUCACCUUGAUACGGAUGAAUUAAUACACCCAGCGGGUGCUCGAGAGUAUUCUUUGAGGCAGUUGCUUCUUGAGGUUCCAGGAAAUGUAGACAUGGUCAUAUUUCCCAACUAUGAGAGCAGUGUUGAGCGAGAUGAUAUUAAAGAACCUUUUAGUGAGGUAUCAAUGUUUAAGAAGAAUUAUGACCAUCUUCCAAAAGAUACAUACUUUGGCAAUUACAAAGAUUCUGUACGUGGGAAUCCAAACUACUUUUUGACUUACGGAAAUGGUAAAUCAGCUGCCCGUAUACAAGAUCAUCUUCGUCCAAAUGGUGCACACAGAUGGCAUAACUACAUGAAAUCCCCAAAUGAGAUCAAGUUGGAGGAGGCUGCUGUUUUGCAUUACACAUAUGCUAAAUUCUCAGACCUCACUUCCAGACGUGAUCGCUGUGGUUGCAAACCUACCAAAGAAGAUGUAAAAAGAUGCUUCAUGUUGGAAUUUGACAGAUCUGCUUUCAUCAUUGCUUCAACAGCAACUGAGGAUGAAAUGUUGAAGUGGUAUAAUGAGCACGUUGUGUGGGGUGAUAAAGACGUGAAGUUGAAACUGCUGAGGAAGGGGAUAUUGACUCGCAUAUAUACUCCCAUGGUCAUAAUACAAAGUUUGAGGGAAUCUGGGGUCUUCAGCUCAGUUAUUGCAUCUGCCCCAACACUUUCCAAAGAGAAUUUUUUGCUCUCUAUCGAUAGUAGCAACUCAUCAAGAGCUGAUGCCUCUGCAUCACUCCCUAGAAAGACGGUAAGGACCUUGGAAUCUGAAGCUACCGCAAGGAGAGUUCUGGAUAUUGAAUCUGCUGCAUUUCAUGGAAUGGCUGUUCCGCCAAUGUCUCCACCGGAAGUAGAAGAUAAUGAGCCCUAUUCUCACUCUUGAAGUCUUGCUCAAUCUUACACCAUUUCCUUCCCCUUCCAUCUAUAUAUAUACUAUGUCCAAUCAUAUGCAGCGGAAGAAGAGCAAGUUUGCUGCAUGCUCUAGCUAUCUAGAAACGUUUGAUGCUUCGUUGCUAUCCAUUUAAUGUACGAGAUUCUUGUGGACAUAGUUGUCUCUAGCAUUGGACGGCCCCUUAUGAAAAUAGUUGGAGAUGUAUCAGCAGGAAAGUGGGAUUUCUUUUUUUAAUCUAUUUUUUGUCAUACAAUAGUAAGACUUGAUUGUAAAUGUGUGAAUUAUUUUUGUAUGAUAAAUGGUUGCUUUAUGUCGGAUCUGAGCACAUUUGUGGUUGAAAUUUAUCGUGGUGUAUUUUCAUGACCAGACAUGACUUGCACUCAAUGAACACAUUCCUAAAAAGAAUAAUAACAAUUUAUAACA